CGGGCGGACGGGUGAGUAACGCGUGGGUAACCUACCCUGUACACACGGAUAACAUACCGAAGGGUAUGCUAAUACGGGAUAAUAUAUUUGAGAGGCAUCUCUUGAAUAUCAAAGGUGAGCCAGUACAGGAUGGACCCGCGUCUGAUUAGCUAGUUGGUAAGGUAACGGCUUACCAAGGCGACGAUCAGUAGCCGACCUGAGAGGGUGAUCGGCCACAUUGGAACUGAGACACGGUCCAA
rnacentral:rRNA from 1 species